CUGGAAUUCCCGGUGUAACGGUGGAAUGUGUAGAUAUCGGGAAGAACACCAAUGGCGAAGGCAGGUCUCUGGGCCGUCACUGACGCUGAGGAGCGAAAGCGUGGGGAGCGAACAGGAUUAGAUACCCUGGUAGUCCACGCCGUAAACGGUGGAUGCUGGAUGUGGGGCCCGUUCCACGGGUUCCGUGUCGGAGCUAACGCGUUAAGCAUCCCGCCUGGGGAGUACGGCCGCAAGGCUAAAACUCAAAGAAAUUGACGGGGGCCCGCACAAGCGGCGGAGCAUGCGGAUUAAUUCGAUGCAACGCGAAGAACCUUACCUGGGCUUGACAUGUUCCCGACCGAUCCGGAGACGGGUCUUCCCUUCGGGGCGGGUUCACAGGUGGUGCAUGGUCGUCGUCAGCUCGUGUCGUGAGAUGUUGGGUUAAGUCCCGCAACGAGCGCAACCCUCGCCCUGUGUUGCCAGCACGUCGUGGUGGGAACUCACGGGGGACCGCCGGGGUCAACUCGGAGGAAGGUGGGGAUGACGUCAGAUCAUCAUGCCCCUUACGUCCAGGGCUUCACGCAUGCUACAAUGGCCGGUACAGCGGGAUGCGACAUGGCGACAUGGAGCGGAUCCCUGAAAACCGGUCUCAGUUCGGAUUGGAGUCUGCAACCCGACUCCAUGAAGGCGGAGUCGCUAGUAAUCGCGGAUCAGCAACGCCGCGGUGAAUGCGUUCCCGGGCCUUGUACACACCGCCCGUCAAGUCAUGAAAGUGGGCAGCACCCGAAGCCGGUGGCCUAACCCCUUGUGGGAUGGAGCCGUCUAAGGUGAGGCUCGUGAUUGGUGAACUGCGCGGGCGUGUUCCCGCAGGCGCUGAUC
rnacentral:rRNA from 1 species